rnacentral:misc_RNA from 1 species
GAUGAAGAACGUAGCGAAAUGCGAUAAGUAAUGUGAAUUGCAGAAUUCAGUGAAUCAUCGAAUCUUUGAACGCACAUUGCGCCCGCCAGUAUUCUGGCGGGCAUGCCUGUUCGAGCGUCAUUUCAACCAUCAAGCCCCAGGCUUGUGUUGGGGACCUGCGGCUGCCGCAGGCCCUGAAAACCAGUGGCGGGCUCGCUGUCACACCGGGCGUAGUAGAUUUUAUCUCGCUCAGGGCGUGCUGCGGGUUCCGGCCGUUAAAAAAGCCUUAUUUACCCAAGGUUGACCUCGGAUCAGGUAGGAAGACCCGCUGAACUUAAGCAUAUCAAUAAGCGGAGGA